rnacentral:rRNA from 1 species
AACGUAGGGGGCGAGCGUUGUCCGGAAUUACUGGGCGUAAAGAGCUCGUAGGCGGUAGUUCAAGUCAGGUGUGAAAUCCGACGGCUUAACCGGAGGACUGCACCUGAUACUGGGCUGCUAGAGGUAAGGAGAGGAAGGUGGAAUUUCCAGUGGAGCGGUGAAAUGCGUAGAUAUUGGAAGGAACACCGAUGGCGAAGGCACUUUACUGGGCUAUUACUAACACUCAGAGACGAAAGCUAGGGUAGCAAAUGGG